GACGAACGCUGGCGGCGUGCUUAGCACAUGCAAGUCGAACGGUAAGGCCCUUCGGGGUACACGAGUGGCGAACGGGUGAGUAACACGUGGGUGAUCUGCCCUGCACUUCGGGAUAAGCCUGGGAAACUGGGUCUAAUACCGGAUAGGACCACUGCCUGCAUGGGUGGUGGUGGAAAGCUUUUGCGGUGUGGGAUGGGCCCGCGGCCUAUCAGCUUGUUGGUGGGGUGAUGGCCUACCAAGGCGACGACGGGUAGCCGGCCUGAGGGGGUGAGCGGCCACACUGGGACUGGGAUACGGCCCAGACUCCUACGGGAGGCAGCAGUGGGGAAUAUUGCACAAUGGGCGCAGGCCUGAUGCAGCGACGCCGCGUGAGGGAUGACGGCCUUCGGGUUGUAAACCUCUUUCAGCACCGACGAAGCGCAAGUGACGGUAGGUGCAGAAGAAGGACCGGCCAACUACGUGCCAGCCGCCGCGGUAA
rnacentral:rRNA from 1 species